UACAUGGGGUGCAAACGUUGCUCGGAAUCAUUGGGCGUAAAGCGCGCGUAGGCGGUUACUUAAGUUGGAUGUGAAAGCCCUCGGCUUAACCGAGGAAGUGCAUCCAAAACUGAGUAGCUAGAGUACGAAAGAGGGUCGCGGAAUUCCCGGUGUAGAGGUGAAAUUCGUAGAUAUCGGGGAGGAACACCGGUGGCGAAGGCGGCGACCUGGGUCGAGACUGACGCUGAGGCGCGAAAGCGUGGGGAGCAAACAGG
rnacentral:rRNA from 1 species